rnacentral:lncRNA from 1 species
AUUUGUAGAGCUUAGGUCUCACUAUGUUGACCAGGCUGGUCUUGAACUCCCAGGCUCAAGCAAUUCUCCUGUCUUGGCCUCCCAAAGUGCUUAGAUUACAGGCAUGAGCCACCACACCCAGCCUAUAAUCAUCCUUUUGAUCUAGUAUCUGUUCUAUACGAAGCACUCAAGAUUUUUUUUUUUUAAUUGGAGAAAGUAACUGUAGAUUGUCUCUGAAGACCCACUGGAGUUACAGACAGGAUAUGUGCAAACGCCUAGGUGGAAGUGUGGGUCCUUCUAUGCCUUUCCCUUAGCUUGUGUCAUUGCAGGGUCAGACAUGGAAAACUGUCAUCUUGGGCGUGUAUAUGGUUUGGAUGUGGCUUGGCUCUGUCCCCACCCAAAUCUCACCUUGAAUUGUAAUCCCCAUAAUCCCCACUUGUCGAGUUGGGGAUCAGGUGGGAGGCGACUGGAUCAUCGGGGCAGUUUCCCCCAUGCUGUUCUCGUGAUAGUGAGUAAGUUCUCAUGAGAUCUGAUGGUUUUAUAAGGUGGUUUUCCCUGCUCUUGCUUGUGCUCUGUGCCUCUUCCCCUUCCACCAUGAUUGUAAGUUUCAUGAGGCCUCCCAAGCCAUGCAGGACUAUGAGUCAAUUAAACCUCUUUCCUUUACAAAUUACCCAGUCUCGGGUAAUUCUUUAUAUCAGUGUGAGAACAGACUAAUGUAGCAUGAAUAAAAGAAAGCCCUUGGGCAGUAGUAAUAACAAGGAUGAUGGUAUAGGAAGCUCAUUCUGGCCUAGCAUGGAGAAUGGACCAGAGGAGUGAGGGUCUGUCGCCAUUGAGAAGGCUUUUGCAGGCAGCAAAGAUGAUGCUGGGCUAAACUAAGAAAUGGUGGCAGGUCUGGAGAGGAUGGAAUAGAGAUGCCAAGAGCAAGCAGGAUUCGGUAAUCGAUUGGAUGUAGACAUGAGGAAGAGGGUAGUAUCGAGAACUGCCAGGUUUCUGGCUUGAUU